rnacentral:rRNA from 1 species
GAAGAGGCGGGGGCACGCGCCGCGGGAAGACCAGCCCGCCGAGUGGGGGGGACGCUUAGUGGAGCUAAAGCAUUCGGAGCCCGCGGGGCAAGGCUUCCGUCAAAUCCAACGAUCGAAGCGUUGGAGUGCGGGGGAUACUGUCUGGCUAGGAGGCGGGAGAGGCCGACGGUAUUCUCGGGGUAGGGGUGAAAUCCUAUAAUCCCGGGAGGACCAUCAGUGGCGAAGGCUGUCGGCUGGAACGCGCUCGACGGUGAGGGAUGAAAGCUGGGGGAGCGAACCGGAUUAGAUACCCGUGUAGUC